UUCGGAACCACAUCGGAUUUUCAAGAAGGAAGACCACGAGGUGCCAUGAAGAACACCCUGUAUGUGACUGUUCCGUCAAGCACUGCAGUCGAACUGCGUUGAAUAAUACAGACUGGAGGAGGUGCCUGCCACCUGCCGUCGCAAUCCGUGGGCCCACCACACGGCGUCACUAAGAAACGGAUCAUCUCAGAGCAUGGGAGUCGAGAAACACACAGAGAACAGAGGCGUGGGUCCUGCUGGCACAACUCCGUGGUAGAACUCGCUUUAACCAGACGCGAACUUCCAACAGCGGACAGAGAAGCCGUAGGUUCGCAUUGCCACAGAUCUGCCGCCGAAUAAUCGAUUUCGUAAGCCGCAUCCCCCAGAAUAGGAAAGCUUUUAGUGGCUAAUUAAAUCCCUGGAGGGCGAGCGAUAUCCAAGCAUAGAGAUAUUAAUAUCCAGCCAGCGCCAGUCGGCGUCAAGAUAUAAAAAAAGAGGAAACUUUGCGUGUAAGUCACAACCUUUCAUUCUGCCAUCGAGUUUUUCCUUCUUCCAGAAACGGUCCAACACCACAGAAGGGAUAACUGACAGCUUCGUGACAUUUCUUAGGCCCUCUAUUUUGUACUCUCAGAUAAAAUAUCUCCCAUAAGCACCACUUACUAACCAAUUCCAUGGAGCAGAGUCCUGGAAAACUAAGAGUCGCUCAAAGUCGACCCUCAGGCAAUUUCCUACGUAAGCAAUCACAACCGAGCUGCACGGACGGUCGGACGAAGCGAGGA